UACGGAGGGUGCAAGCGUUAUCCGGAUUCACUGGGUUUAAAGGGUGCGUAGGUGGGUCUGUAAGUCAGUGGUGAAAUCUCCGUGCUUAACAUGGAAACUGCCAUUGAUACUAUAGGUCUUGAAUUUUCUGGAGGUCAGCGGAAUAUGUCAUGUAGCGGUGAAAUGCUUAGAUAUGACAUAGAACACCAAUUGCGAAGGCAGCUGGCUACAGGGAUAUUGACACUGAGGCACGAAAGCGUGGGGAUUAAACAGG
rnacentral:rRNA from 1 species